GGUCAAGUUAUUAAGGGUGCAGGGCGGAUGCCUUGGCACUAGGAGCCGAUGAAGGACGUGAUAAGCUGCGAUAAGCUUCGGGGAGUUGCACGUAAACUUUGAUCCGAAGAUUUCCGAAUGAGGAAACUCACUUAGAGUAAUGUCUAAGUAUCAUUAAGUGAAUACAUAGCUUAAUGAGGGGAACUCAGGGAACUGAAACAUCUAAGUACCUGAAGGAAGAGAAAGAAAUUCGAUUCCGUAAGUAGCGGCGAGCGAACGCGGAUUAGCCCAAACCAAUAAAGUUUUCUUUAUUGGGGUUGCGGACAUAUCAUAACGAAGAGGUAUCGUAAUUGAAGAGGUUUGGAAAGACCCACCACAGAAGGUAAUAGUCCUGUAUGUUAAACGAGAAGACUUUAGAUAUGAUCCAGAGUACCACGGGACACGUGAAACCCUGUGGGAAGCAGGAGGGACCACCCUCCAAGGCUAAAUACUACCUAGUGACCGAUAGCGUAUAGUACCGUGAGGGAAAGGUGAAAAGAACCCCGGGAGGGGAGUGAAAUAGAACCUGAAACCCUGCACUUACAAGCUGUGGAAGCACAUUUCUUGUGUGACCGCGUACUUUUUGUAGAACGGGCCAACGAGUUACGUUAAGUAGCAAGGUUAAGCACUUAAGGUGUGGAGCCGUAGCGAAAGCGAGUUUUAACUGAGCGUUCAGUUACUUGACGUAGACCCGAAACCGGGCGACCUACCCAUGAGCAGGAUGAAGCGAAAGUAAAAUUUCGUGGAGGUCCGAACCCACGAGCGUUGAAAAGCUCGGGGAUGACUUGUGGGUAGCGGUGAAAUUCCAAUCGAGCCCGGAGAUAGCUGGUUCUCCCCGAAAUAGCUUUAGGGCUAGCCUCAAGGUGAGAGAUACGGAGGUAGAGCACUGAAUGUCCUAGGGGGUAUUGCACCUACCGAAGACUAUCAAACUCCGAAUGCCGUCAUCUUAUACUUGGGAGUCAGACUGUGGGUGAUAAGAUUCAUAGUCGAAAGGGCAACAGCCCAGAUCGUCAGCUAAGGUCCCUAAAUGUAAGUUAAGUGGUAAAGGAUGUGGGAUUGCACAGACAACCAGGAUGUUGGCUUAGAAGCAGCCACUCAUUCAAAGAGUGCGUAAUAGCUCACUGGUCGAGUGAUCCUGCGCCGAAGAUUUCCGGGGCUAAAACUUACUACCGAAGCUACGGCAUCAGUAAUGAUGGGUAGGGGAGCUUCCCAUACGGGUUGAAGCAUGACCGUAAGGACAUGUGGACAGUAUGGGAGUGAGAAUGUUGGCAUGAGUAGCGAGAUGUGGGUGGGAAUCCCACAGGCCGUAAACCCAAGGUUUCCAGGGGAAGGUUCGUCCGCCCUGGGUUAGUCGGGACCUAAGCUGAGGCCGAAAGGCGUAGGUGAUGGACAACAGGUUGAUAUUCCUGUACUACCGAUAACCAUUUGAGAGAUGGGAUGACACAGUAGGAUAAGCUAAGCACACUGUUGGUUAUGUGUGCCCAAGCAUUGAGGCAGUCAAAGUAGGCAAAUCCGCUUUGAUAAUGCUGGGAUGUGAUGGGGAGCGAAAUUUAGUAGCGAAGUAGCUGAUUUCACACUGUCAAGAAAAGUCUCUAUCGAGGUUAAAGGUACCCGUACCGCAAACCGACACAGGUGGGUGAGGAGAGUAUCCUAAGGCCAGCGAGAGAACUGUUGUUAAGGAACUCGGCAAAAUGACCCCGUAACUUAGGGAUAAGGGGUGCCACCAUCAGGUGGCCGCAGAGAAUAGGCCCAAGCGACUGUUUACCAAAAACAUAGGUUUCUGCUAAGUCGCAAGACGAUGUAUAGGAGCUGACGCCUGCCCGGUGCUGGAAGGUUAAGGGGAUCUGUUAGAG
rnacentral:rRNA from 1 species